GAGUUUGAUCGUGGCUCAGGAUGAACGCUGGCGGCGUGCCUAAUACAUGCAAGUCGAGCGAACGGACGAGAAGCUUGCUUCUCUGAUGUUAGCGGCGGACGGGUGAGUAACACGUGGAUAACCUACCUAUAAGACUGGGAUAACUUCGGGAAACCGGAGCUAAUACCGGAUAAUAUUUUGAACCGCAUGGCUCAAAAGUGAAAGACGGUCUUGCUGUCACUUAUAGAUGGAUCCGCGCUGCAUUGCUAGUUGGUAAGGUAACGGCUUACCAAGGCAACGAUGCAUAGCCGACCUGAGAGGGUGAUCGGCCACACUGGAACUGAGACACGGUCCAGACUCCUACGGGAGGCAGCAGUAGGG
rnacentral:rRNA from 1 species